rnacentral:rRNA from 1 species
UACGUAGGGUGCGAGCGUUGUCCGGAAUUACUGGGCGUAAAGAGUUCGUAGGCGGUUUGUCGCGUCGUUCGUGAAAACUUGGGGCUUAACUCCAAGCGUGCGGGCGAUACGGGCAGACUUGAGUACUACAGGGGAGACUGGAAUUCCUGGUGUAGCGGUGAAAUGCGCAGAUAUCAGGAGGAACACCGGUGGCGAAGGCGGGUCUCUGGACAUUUCCUGACGCUGAGGCACGAAAGCUAGGGGAGCAAACAGG